GACGUAGGGUGCCAGCGUUGUUCGGAAUUACUGGGUGUAAAGGGUUCGUAGGCGGUGCGGCAAGUCGGGUGUGAAAUCUCUGGGCUCAACCCAGAGGCUGCUUCCGAAACUGCUGUGCUUGAGUGUGGGAGAGGCGCGUGGAAUUGCAGGUGUAGCGGUGAAAUGCGUAGAUAUCUGCAGGAACACCCGUGGCGAAAGCGGCGCGCUGGACCACUACUGACGCUGAAGAACGAAAGCUAGGGGAGCAAACAGG
rnacentral:rRNA from 1 species